GUCACAUCUGACAUUUCUUGGUUUUCCUGCAGGACUUGUUAAGACCCACAUGCAGACUGUGAGCUUCAUCUGACCCUCCCUGGAAACGAAUCCAGGAAGGAAUUCUUAGAGGACACUGACAUUUUGGUUUCCAGAAAGUCUGAGUACCCAUUUUUUUUCCAGUUUUUAGUUCUCCUGACAAACCCAGGCAACCUAUGUUGCUUUUCCUUAAGCACAUCAGGAAGUGAACCUUGAGUACAUCUCAGCUCCACCAGCUGCAAAAUGAAUGGAGAGCACAGGGAGCAGCCACGGAAGCGUUGUCCACGUGCACAGCCCGGUACAGCUGAAUGGGCAAACGAUGUGUCAGCAUUUGCAGCUCAUCAGCAAGGAGUUCUGACUGCUCCCCUGGGUAUCAUCCUCCCUCCAUCACCACUCUCCCCAGAAGCAGUCAGCCCAAGCGGGAUCAUUCUGCCCUUUCACUCAGCAGCAGCACUGGCUUUUGCAAAUUAAGGGCCAGAUGUUUCAUACAGAGAGGUGAUGAGACAAAAACUCAGCCCGGCUUUCAGACAUAGUCACUACCCAGUGCCUUAAGGGCAGAGAUGUAUAACUUGUGUGUGUGCUGCUCUUGGGACGUGGAGGUAGAGACAGUUUGUUCUGCUUUUUUUCCAUUGUGCAUGGGUACACAACGUGGCUCUCAGCCUCCUCUACAAUAACGCUUUGUUUCCCUCGACCAACACCACUCUGUCAGCGAUGUAAAUAAUUUUAGCACAUCCAAACAGGAAGUGGCUGAGUGUUUGGGUGUCUGAACCAACAUCCUGGAGGCUGGGCCUUUGCCACCAGUGCAAUUACUAAAUGCAUGAGUCGCCUAUGGAUGGAAGUGCAGGUCUUGGAAAUGGUAGAGCCAGUAAAACUCAGUGCCAGAAUGUGACCGUUGCCAAAUAAUACUGUUGCUUGUCCAGUCUGUGUGGCCACAGACUUCUUCAUCUCAGCUUCUCUGUGCUGAUGCAAUCACAUUUCUUCUCUGCUAGUGGCAUUGGUAUAGAAAGAGUAGAAUGGAGGACUGGCACUGUUGCACUAGUGAGCAGCACUCGAAGGCUUUUGGGAUUGUAAGCUCAAUGGGCCAGUGGGGAAGCCAUGCACAGAAGGGAAGUUCUUCACAGAGAGAGUGUUGAGGUGCAGGAACAGGCUGUACA